rnacentral:rRNA from 1 species
UACAGGGGGUGCAAGCGUUGUUCGGAAUUACUGGGCGUAAAGGGUUCGUAGGUGGCUUAUUAAGUCAAACGUGAAAUCCCUCAGCUUAACCGGGGAACUGCGUCUGAUACUGGAAAGCUUGAGUGCAGGAGAGGAACGCGGAAUUCCAGGUGUAGCGGUGAAAUGCGUAGAUAUUGGGAAGAACACCAGUGGCGAAGGCGGCUAACUGGUCCGAUACUGACGCUGAGGUGCGAAAGCGUGGGGAGCAAACAGG